rnacentral:rRNA from 1 species
CAGCAGCCGCGGUAAUACAGAGGGUGCGAGCGUUAAUCGGAUUUACUGGGCGUAAAGCGUGCGUAGGCGGCUUUUUAAGUCGGAUGUGAAAUCCCUGAGCUUAACUUAGGAAUUGCAUUCGAUACUGGGAAGCUAGAGUGUGGGAGAGGAUGGUAGAAUUCCAGGUGUAGCGGUGAAAUGCGUAGAGAUCUGGAGGAAUACCGAUGGCGAAGGCAGCCAUCUGGCCUAACACUGACGCUGAGGUACGAAAGCAUGGGGAGCAAACAGGAUUAGAUACCCGCGUAGUCCCUGUCUCUAUACA